rnacentral:rRNA from 1 species
AAUGAACGCUGGCGGCGUGCCUAACACAUGCAAGUCGAACGAGGCGGAAGGGGGCAACUCCUUCCAGUCGAGUGGCGGACGGGUGAGUAACACGUGGGUAACCUGCCCGGAAGUGGGGAAUACCUCGGGGAAACUCGAGCUAAUACCGCAUGACAUCUUCGGGACGAAAGUCCUGACGAUCAAAGCGGGGUCGCAAGAUCUCGCGCUACCGGAUGGGCCCGCGCCCGAUUAGCUAGUUGGGAGGUAACGGCUCACCAAGGCUUCGAUCGGUAACCGGCCUGAGAGGGCGAUCGGUCACACCGGAACUGAGACACGGUCCGGACUCCUACGGGAGGCAGCAGUGGGGAAUCUUGCGCAAUGGGCGAAAGCCUGACGCAGCAACGCCGCGUGGAGGAUGAAGGCCCUUGGGUUGUAAACUCCUGUCGGCUGGGAAGAAAUCGUUCGCGGUUAAUACCGCGGGCG